rnacentral:misc_RNA from 1 species
UGUGGGAGCGAGCCUGCUCGCGAAGCGUUUACCAGGUGCAUACGGUGAUGCCUUCGCGAGCAGGCUCGCUCCCACA